rnacentral:rRNA from 1 species
UACGUAGGGUGCAAGCGUUGUCCGGAAUUAUUGGGCGUAAAGAGCUCGUAGGCGGUUUGUCGCGUCGAAUGUGAAAUCCCGGGGCUCAACCGCGGGUCUGCAGUCGAUACGGGCAGGCUAGAGUUCGGUAGGGGAGACUGGAAUUCCUGGUGUAGCGGUGAAAUGCGCAGAUAUCAGGAGGAACACCGAUGGCGAAGGCAGGUCUCUGGGCCGAUACUGACGCUGAGGAGCGAAAGCGUGGGGAGCGAACAGG